rnacentral:lncRNA from 1 species
AAAGGGGGCUGCCUUUAUGCUUUAGUCAAGGUAACCUCCAAAUUUUGAAGGGCAGUUCGAGCCAAGGUGUAAAUUGUAGUGUUCAGUGUAGCAGGUUGCUGCUUUCGGUUUUCCAAUUUCGCUCCUGCUGUAGAGAACCAGUGGACUGGUUAUCAUUUUGUUUUUAUUUUGAUUUCUGUGGUUUACUAGUUAUGUUCUCCAUUUAUAAUUAGUAUAUGUGCAUCAAUCUGUUGUACUCCCUCCGUCCGGAAAUACUUGUCAUAGAUAUGAAUGUAUCUACUAUCUAGAUGCAUUUUAGUUUUAGAUACAUUCAUUUUCAUCCAUUUCGAUAACAAGUAAUUCCGGACGGAGGGAGUACUUUCAGUUCCCCUUAAGGAACAAUGAUGUUUU